rnacentral:rRNA from 1 species
UACCAGCACCCCGAGUGGUCGGGGCGAUUAUUGGGCCUAAAGCAUCCGUAGCCGGUCCUACAAGUCUUCCGUUAAAUCCACCUGCUUAACAGAUGGGCUGCGGAAGAUACUAUAGGGCUAGGAGGCGGGAGAGGCAAGCGGUACUCAGUGGGUAGGGGUAAAAUCCUCUGAUCCACUGAAGACCACCAGUGGCGAAGGCGGCUUGCCAGAACGCGCUCGACGGUGAGGGAUGAAAGCUGGGGGAGCAAACCGG